rnacentral:rRNA from 1 species
UGGGGAAUUUUGGACAAUGGGGGAAACCCUGAUCCAGCCAUCCCGCGUGUGCGAUGAAGGCCUUCGGGUUGUAAAGCACUUUUGGUAGGAAAGAAACGUCAUGGGUUAAUACCCCGUGAAACUGACGGUACCUGCAGAAUAAGCACCGGCUAACUACGUGCCAGCAGCCGCGGUAAUACGUAGGGUGCAAGCGUUAAUCGGAAUUACUGGGCGUAAAGCGUGCGCAGGCGGUUCGGAAAGAAAGAUGUGAAAUCCCAGUGCUCAACUUUGGGACUGCAUUUCUAACUACCGGGCUAGAGUGUGUCAGAGGGAGGUGGAAUUCCGCGUGUAGCAGUGAAAUGCGUAGAUAUACGGAGGAACACCGAUGGCGAAGGCAGCCUCCUGGAAUAACACUGACGCUCAUGCACGAAAGCGUGGGGAGCAAACAGG